rnacentral:lncRNA from 1 species
AGGUGGAGGUAAUUGAAUCACUGGGGCAGUUUCCCGCAUACUGUUCUCGCGAUAGUGAGUGAGUCUCACGAGAUCUGUUGGUUUUAUAAAUGUCCGACAUUUCCCCUGUUGCACUCGCUUCAGUUUGCUGCCUUGUGAGGAAGGUGUCUGCUUCUUCUUUGCCUUCUGUCAUUAUUAUCCAUCCAUUUGGAGGAGUCAGCUGCUUCCUGAACUUCAGGCCUUGAGGCAGGAGACAGCGUGUACCAUCUCCUGCCAUUCUGUUGAUAAACCUGGGAUGACUACGCCACACCCUGACAUUACAGCAUCUUGUUUUAUCUCCCUGAGAGUGCUACCAGCAAUGCCACCUCCAAGUGUAGCUGUUUCAGGUGUGGACCCUAACACUGGAUUCGUGUACCCAGCUCUGAUGCUGUCAUCCCUCUUGUGGAGUGAGUAAAAGGACUUUCCUUUGUUAUGGGAUGCUGGAUGCUGUAUGCUGUGGUUAGUUGCAC